AGCCUUGAGGUGUUUUACAUAUAAGAUUGCAAAUCUUAAGUAGCAGAGUGACGUUUGCCGGGGCUU
rnacentral:tRNA from 1 species